GCUCCUCCUCGAGGUCUUGCUGGAUACCUAUCUCUGAACACAAAAAAAUAUAUAUUUAUAUAGUAUAAAUAAAAGUCAUUCAAAGAUAGUAACAGAAGGCAGCAAAUUUAUAAUUAAACUUUGUUAGUAACCUGUUUAAUUUAUUGAUUUAUAUUUUCAUAAGAAAAUGCAUCACUGUGAAAACUGUAAUAAACAAUUUACAACCCGUCAAUCACGACUACGCCACGAAAAGCUCUAUUGUCAAGUGGUCAAAAAACAGGAAAAUGGAGGACCGGCCGCCAAGAAACAGAAAAUAUGUCAUUCAACUGCUAGCAACAAUUAUAUGUGCGUUACAUGUAAUCAAGAAAUUGCUCCAAAGCUUAUUACGGCCCAUGAGAGAAGUAGACAGCAUAGAAAUAAUUGUCAAAGUACUCCCUUGGAGGAUGGGGUGUUUGCACUCAGCAGUGCAUUUAAAUCACGCAUCGCUUCAUAUAGGAUUUGUGAUGAGGGCCAUUAUAUCGAUUUAAAUGAAUUUAUGGAUAAAAUUCACAAUAAAUUACUUAGACUUAUUGUUUCACAAAUUGAAAAAUUUAGUACAAUCAAAAUAAAUUUGGAAUUAUUUAGAUUGUAUACCAUUGAGUCAAAAAAUAUAUUUGAUGUAAAAUCUUUCAAUACUACUAACAGAAUUGUCACUUUAGGCACGAAUAUUAGGAAUAUGUUGCAUGACUUUCAAGAAGUUAUUAGUCAAAAAAUGAUGGAUUUUUUGGAACGAGAUUCAGGCUGGACACUUGUGAAAAUCUUACAUUUAGAAUUAAAUGUAAACUAUUACAAUCCAUUGAAAGCUUCAUCGUAUAUCCCACUACCGCCAAGCGUGAAAAUGAAGAGGGCAAUAGUUAAUGUUCAAAAUCAGGAUAUUCAUUGUUUUGGUUGGAGUGUCGUAGCAGCAGUGUGUCUACCUAUGGGACCAGAACAUUUGCCCAGUUCAUAUCCACAUUGGUCGACACUUUUUAAUUUCCAAGGUAUUGAAUUUCCUGUAAAACUGGAUAGUAUUGCAAAAUUUGAAAGUCAAAAUAAUGUCUCUAUUAAUGUUUACGGACUUGAAUUACUUUAUGUAAACAAUAAGGUAAAAUUUGAAAUUGUGGGACCAUUAUAUUUUACAAACUUUAAGAAACCGGUACACAUAAAUUUAUUAUUGUUGAGUGAUAACGAUGGUAAUCAACAUUACUGUACAAUAACUAAUUUGCCACGUUUAGUAUCUUCCCAACUCUCAAAACAUCAUCAUUCAAAAUUUUUCUGUGAUGGAUGUCUACAAUAUUUCACAACCCAAGCUUUAUUAGAUAGACAUUCUUCGACUGAUUGUGGAAAACUUUAUGCUAGAAUCCUAAAUAAUGAAUUAAUAACAAAUAGAUUUGGUUAUAAUGUUCCCGCUAAUGUAUUAGAAUUUCAAAAUUAUCAUCAUAAAAUGACUAUUCCAUUUAUUGUUUAUGCUGAUUUCGAAUGUUUAUUGAAACCUAUGAGUACAGUUGCACCAAAUCCAAAUCAAUCAUUUUCGAUAAAAACUUUUCUCCAUCAACCAUAUUCAUGUGCAUAUUACAUUAAAUGUUCAUAUAACGAUCUAAAUUCCAAAGUUUUCGAGGACAGUCAUCUGUGGUUGACUUUAUUACAGCAUUAGAAAUAGAUUUGAUAGAGAUUUAUAAAAAGUAUUUAAGUAUUGUACAACCAAUGCUUCCAUUAACUAUUCAAGAAGAGUUUGAUUAUCUUACAGCAACGGAAUGUCAUAUUUGUCAAAAACCUUUUCAACAGAAUGAUAUUAAAGUAAAAGAUCACUGUCAUUUAACGGGUCGUUAUAGGUCCGCCGCGCACAGUAAUUGUAACUUGAAUUUUCAAAUUCCUAAUUUUAUUCCGAUAGUAUUUCAUAAUUUAACAAAUUAUGAUAGUCACUUAUUCAUUAAAGAGUUGGCCCUUGAAGAAAGUGAAAUUAAUAUUCUUGGUAAAACUAAAGAGAAAUAUAUUACAUUUUCGAAAAAAAUUUGUGUAGGCGAAUAUCUAAAUUCAAACAAUCGAAUAGUCAAGGAGCACUUACACUUGCGUUUUAUAGAUAGUUUUCAGUUUUUGGCAUGUUCAUUAGAAAAACUGGCAGCAGCCUUGGAUGAUGCUCAAUGUAUGGAAGUAAAACGAUACUUUCCCGUUGACAGAGAAUUUCAGUUAAUUAGACAGAAAGGGGUUUUUCCAUAUUCAUUUAUCGAUGAUUUUUCUAAAUUAGAUCCCACGGAAUUACCACAAAAAAUUGAUUUUUACGAUAAACUUCGCGAUGAGCAUAUUUCUGAAGAUGAUUAUCAACGAGCUAAUACCGUAUGGAAUACAUUCCAUUGUCAGACUCUAGGCGAAUAUUCUGAUCUCUAUUUAAAAAGUGAUAUUUUGCUAUUAGCUGAUGUCUUUGAGAAUUUUCGAAACAUGUGCCUUAAGCAUUAUGAACUUGAUCCAGCACAUUACGUGACAGCACCAUCUCUUAGUUGGAAUGCUAUGCUUAAAUUUACCCAUGUAAAAUUAGAAUUAUUGACUGAUAUAGAUAUGUUGCAUUUUUUCAAAAAAGGGAUUCGUGGGGGAGUUAGUACAUGUGUUAAACGAGCGGCUCAAGCAAAUAAUAAAUUUCUUCCAAAUUAUGACCCUUCGAAACCGACAUCAUACAUUUUAUACCUCGAUGCAACAAAUCUCUAUGGUUGGGCUAUGAGUGAAGUACUCCCUUUAGGUGGAUUUACUUGGCUAACGCAAGACGAAAUUAAUUCACUUAGUAUUAUGGAUUUGACUGAUACCACACCUGAAGGUUAUGUCCUUGAAGUAGAUAUCUCUUAUCCUCAUCAUUUACACAACUCUCAUAAUGAUAUGCCAUUUCUACCUGAAAAUUUAAUUCCACCAAACGGAAAAUGUGCUAAACUCAUUCCAAAUCUAUGUGCUAAAACAAACUACAUAAUACACUAUCGAAAUUUAAAACAAGCUCUACAAAAUGGACUAGAAUUGACAAAAAUUCAUAGAGUACUAAAAUUCAAUCAAUCGUCAUGGCUCAAACCAUAUAUUGAUUUAAAUACGAAAUUACGAAAUCAGACUAAAAAUAAGUUUGAAAAAGAUUUAUUUAAACUCAUGAAUAAUAGUGUGUAUGGAAAAACCAUGGAAAAUGUCGAUAAUCGGGUAGAUAUUAAACUGGCUACACAUUGGAAAAAGAACGGUCACAAGUAUGGAGCAGAGACAUGGAUAGCCAAACCACAAUUUAAAAAUUGUUCUAUUUUUACUGAAAAUUUAGUUGCAAUAGAAAUGAAUAAAGUUCAAGUAACGUAUGAUAAACCUAUUUAUGUAGGAUUCAGUAUAUUGGAAAUUUCAAAAACUUUAAUGUGUGACUUUUUUUAUAAUUUCCUUAAAGUUAAGUAUGGAAAUAAUGUACAGCUUUUGUAUACGGAUACGGAUUCAUUAAUUUUAGAAAUUUAUACGGAAAACGUAUAUAAUGAUAUUAAGCAGAAUAUUGAUCGGUUUGAUACUUCAAAUUAUCCCGAGAAUAAUAUUCAUGAUAUUCCUAAAACUGUGUCUAUUAUCGGUAAAAUGAAAGAUGAGUAUGCUGGUGUACCAAUUGUACUACUUUAUGGCACCGGUGCCAAAGCAUAUUGUGUGCAAACAGUGAAUGAUUUAAUUAAAAAGGCUAAAGGUGUAAGUAAACAUGUAAUUGAUAAAUCUCUAACACUGUUACAAUAUCGGGCAAUUGCAACAAAUCCUUCAUCUUCAUCAGUUUUCUGUGUUAUGAACGUUUUCAAAUCUUAUUUACAUAAUAUGUAUACCGAAUUAAGGAAUAAAAUAGCACUGUCUAAUUUCGAUGAUAAACGAUACAUUUUAGGUAAUUCAAUUGACACAUUAGCCUGGGGACAUUACGAUAUUGAUAGAGAUCGAAAUUUAGAUUCUCUAAUUAGAGAAUUGCAAAAAUAUGUGGAACCCACUGAUUGAAUUUUACCUUAUUGUAGAUAUGUAACGAUAUGUAACCAUUUAUUUAUACUACAUAGUUAUUAUUAUUAUUAUUAUGUAUUUAUAAUUGAUGUAAUGUGUAAAGUAUUUUUAUUUGUAUUUUGUAAGUCAACAAUGAAACUUGUGCAACAAAAAGAUUUAUUAAAAAUUUCUAAUCACGA